UAGGGAAUCUUCGGCAAUGGGGGCAACCCUGACCGAGCAACGCCGCGUGAGUGAAGAAGGUUUUCGGAUCGUAAAGCUCUGUUGUAAGAGAAGAACGUGUGUGAGAGUGGAAAGUUCACACAGUGACGGUAACUUACCAGAAAGGGACGGCUAACUACGUGCCAGCAGCCGCGGUAAUACGUAGGUCCCGAGCGUUGUCCGGAUUUAUUGGGCGUAAAGCGAGCGCAGGCGGUUUAAUAAGUCUAAAGGUAAAGGCAGGGGCUUAACAAUUGUUCGCUUUGGAAACUGGUAAACUGGAGUGCAGAAGGGGAGAGUGGAAUUCCAUGUGUAGCGGUGAAAGGCGUAGAUAUAUGGAGGAACACCGGUGGCGAAAGCGGCUCUCUGGUCGGUAACUGACGCUGAGGCUCGAAAGCGUGGGGAGCAAACAGG
rnacentral:rRNA from 1 species